AUUGAACGCUGGCGGCAGGCCUAACACAUGCAAGUCGAACGAGUGGCGGACGGGUGAGUAAUGUCUGGGAAACUGCCUGAUGGAGGGGGAUAACUACUGGAAACGGUAGCUAAUACCGCAUACCAUCGGAUGUGCCCAGAUGGGAUUAGCUAGUAGGUGGGGUAAUGGCUCACCUAGGCGACGAUCCCUAGCUGGUCUGAGAGGAUGACCAGCCAACCGGGAACUGAGACACGGUCCAGACUCCGACGGGAGGAAGCAGUGGGGAAUAUUGCACAAUGGGCGCAAGCCUGAUGCAGCCAUGCCGCGUGUAUGAAGAAGGCCUUCGGGUUGUAAAGCACUUUCAGCGAGGAGGCGUUACUCGCAGAAGAAGCACCGGCUAACUCCGUGCCAGCAGCCGCGGUAAUUC
rnacentral:rRNA from 1 species